UAUUAAAAUGUAUCCACUUAUCGUUGGGGGCAAUCUUCGCGGUUUAAAUUUAACGAGAGCGUUAAAGCCAAUAAAUCGAUUACACUUAUAAAUAAGUUUAGUAGCGAUCACAUUCAUUUAAAUGUCACCGGUGUAAAAGUUAAUUCUCGAUAGAGAAGCAGCGAUGCAUCUGCUUUCAGCAACGAACGAAACGGAGAAUUCAGUGACGCGUGCCGGGGAACGAAUGUAGAAGCGGUACACGCUAAUACACUCUAACCAACAACCGUGCUUCUCUCUCUCUUUCUCUCUCGAAUUAGAAAUGUGUGUGUCUCACAAUGACAUCACACCACGAUCGUUCGAGUGAGACGAUCGUUAGACUCGAAUGAUCUCGUUGCAAAUCACCGUGUUCCUUCUAUUUACGCAUCCAGCCACGUUGUAAUUCGACGUUGGAUCGAUCCAUGAUCGAUCGAUCGAACGUCGCCCGGCUUGACAUAUAAAUUAAUCCAAUU